GAUGAAGAACGCAGCGAAAUGCGAUAAGUAGUGUGAAUUGCAGAAUUCAGUGAAUCAUCGAAUCUUUGAACGCACAUUGCGCCCCUUGGUAUUCCAUGGGGCAUGCCUGUUCGAGCUUCAUUUGUACCUUCAAGCUCUGCUUGGUGUUGGGUGUUUGUCUCGCCUCUGCGUGUAGACUCGCCUCAAAACAAUUGGCAGCCGGCGUAUUGAUUUCGGAGCGCAGUACAUCUCGCGCUUUGCACUCAUAACGACGACGUCCAAAAGUACAUUUUUACACUCUUGACCUCGGAUCAGGUAGGGAUACCCGCUGAACUUAAGCAUAUCAAUAAGCGGAGGA
rnacentral:misc_RNA from 1 species